rnacentral:rRNA from 1 species
UAUCAAUAAGCGGAGGAAAAGAAACCAACAGGGAUUGCCUCAGUAACGGCGAGUGAAGCGGCAAGAGCUCAAAUUUGAAAUCCGGCCCCCCUGGGGGCCUGAGUUGUAAUUUGCAGAGGAUGCUUCGGGCGCGACCGCGGUCCAAGUCCCCUGGAACGGGGCGUCGUAGAGGGUGAGAAUCCCGUCUCCGGCCGGCCGGUCUCGCCCGUGUGAAGCUCCUUCGACGAGUCGAGUUGUUUGGGAAUGCAGCUCCAAAUGGGUGGUAAAUUUCAUCUAAAGCUAAAUACUGGUCGGAGACCGAUAGCGCACAAGUAGAGUGAUCGAAAGAUGAAAAGCACUUUGAAAAGAGAGUUAAACAGCAUGUGAAAUUGUUGAAAGGGAAGCGCUUGCGACCAGAGUCGGCUGUGGGGGUUCAGCGGGCAUUCGUUGCCCGUGCAAUCCCCCGCGGCCGGGCCAGCGUCGGUUUCGACGGCCGGUCAAAGGCCCCCGGAAUGUGUCGCCUCUCGGGGCGUCUUAUAGCCGGGGGUGCAAUGCGGCCAGUCGGGACCGAGGAACGCGCUCCGGCACGGACGCUGG